GACGAACGCUGGCGGCGUGCUUAACACAUGCAAGUCGAGCGGAUCGGCGAACGGGUGAGUAAUGCGUGAGUAACUGCCCCCCUCUCUGGGAUAACAGUUGGAAACGGCUGCUAAUACCGGAUAGUGGGGGAUGACUCGCGUCCUAUCAGCUUCUGGGUGGGGUAGUGGCCUACCAAGGCGACGACGGGUAGCCGACCUGAUAGGGCGACCGGCCAAAAUGGGCUGAGAGACGGACCAAACGCCUACGGGAGGCAGCAGUGGGGAAUAUUGCACAAGGGGGGAAACGCUGAUGCAGAAACGCCGCGGGCGUGAUGACGGCCUUGGGGUUGUAAACCGCGUUCAGCCAUGACGCGGUAGUGGCAGAAGAAGCACCGGCUAACUACGUGCCAGCCGCCGCGGUAAUAC
rnacentral:rRNA from 1 species